rnacentral:rRNA from 1 species
GACGAACGCUGGCGGCGUGCCUAAUACAUGCAAGUUGAGCGCUGAAGGUUGGUACUUGUACCAACUGGAUGAGCAGCGAACGGGUGAGUAACGCGUGGGGAAUCUGCCUUUGAGCGGGGGACAACAUUUGGAAACGAAUGCUAAUACCGCAUAAAAACUUUAAACACAAGUUUUAAGUUUGAAAGAUGCAAUUGCAUCACUCAAAGAUGAUCCCGCGUUGUAUUAGCUAGUUGGUGAGGUAAAGGCUCACCAAGGCGAUGAUACAUAGCCGACCUGAGAGGGUGAUCGGCCACAUUGGGACUGAGAUACGGCCCAAACUCCUACGGGAGGCAGCAGUAGGGAAUCUUCGGCAAUGGACGAAAGUCUGACCGAGCAACGCCGCGUGAGUGAAGAAGGUUUUCGGAUCGUAAAACUCUGUUGGUAGAGAAGAACGUUGGUGAGAGUGGAAAGCUCAUCAAGUGACGGUAACUACCCAGAAAGGGACGGCUAACUACGU